CAAUUUUUGGGCAGGUAUUUGAGGCAAGCUGAAAACUUGUCACAUACCUCUCCUAUUAUAUUCCAACACGGAAUUGCAGACCUGGCUGUUCUUUGACACCUAAUAGAAACGGAUGGACACUUAAUGAGGAUACGCUAGAUUUUCACUGGUUUGACGGAGAGGGUAUGCCGCAAUUAGUAUUCGAUGCUGUUGUUCACGAGGAAAAUAAAAAUAACGAUGAUGAAAAUCAUACUUCAGGUGAGAAUAAAUGGUUUAUUUUUAAUAACUGCUGCAUUCAAAUUUCUGUGAUUACUUAAAAAAAAAUAUCUAUUUCUUUUCGCAGAUGAUGAAGAGGUUGCCGAAUCUGAUACAGAUGAAUCCGAAGAUUCAAGUAGUUCUGAUGAAGAAUCCACAGACGAAGAAUGAUAAUUUAUAUCUGACGUGAAAUGAAUUUAAUUUAUUUCUAAUUUUUUUAUACUUAAAUAAUUGUAACACUGAAGAAAUAUUAUAUUUUUAUAAAUGUA